GGGGGGGGGGGGGGGGGGGCCGAAGGGGGGGAGGGCGGGGGGGGGGACGAGGAGCGGGGGGCUGUGAUGUUAGCGGCGGAGGGGGGAGUAACACGUGGAUAACCUAGCUAGAAGACUGGGAUAACGUCGGGAAACCGGAGCUAAUACCGGAUAAUAUUUUGAACCGCAUGGUUCAAAAGUGAAAGACGGUCUUGCUGUCACUUAUAGAUGGAGCCGCGCUGCAUUAGCUAGUUGGUAAGGUAACGGCUUACCAAGGCAACGAUGCAUAGCCGACCUGAGAGGGUGAUCGGCCACACUGUAACUGAGACACGGUCCAGACUCCUACGGGAGGCAGCAGUAGGGAAUCUUCCGCAAUGGGCGAAAGCCUGACGGAGCAACGCCGCGUGAGUGAUGAAGGUCUUCGGAUCGUAAAACUCUGUUAUUAGGGAAGAACAUAUGUGUAAGUAACUGUGCACAUCUUGACGGUACCUAAUCAGAAAGCCACGGCUAACUACGUG
rnacentral:rRNA from 1 species